UCCACCGUAGCUCAAUGGCAGAGCACCCGGCUGUUAACCGGGCGGUUGCUGGUUUGAGUCCAGCCGGUGGAG
rnacentral:tRNA from 1 species